UCGAUUCAAGUUACCUUCGGGUAAUGAGGAUGGCGGACGGGUGAGUAACGCGUAAGGAACUUGCCUCUUGGACUGGGACAACUGUUGGAAACGACAGCUAAUACCGGAUAUUAUGAGAUUCUCGCAUGAGAAACUUAUGAAAGCUAUAUGCGCCAAGAGAGAGCCUUGCGUUCCAUUAGCUAGUUGGUGGGGUAACGGCCCACCAAGGCGACGAUGGAUAGCCGGCCUGAGAGGGUGAACGGCCACAAGGGGACUGAGACACGGCCCUUACUCCUACGGGAGGCAGCAGUGGGGAAUAUUGGACAAUGGGCCACAAGCCUGAUCCAGCAAUUCUGUGUGCACGAUGAAGGUCUUCGGAUUGUAAAGUGCUUUCAGUUGGGAAGAAGAAAGUGACGGUACCAACAGAAGAAGCGACGGCUAAAUACGUGCCAGCAGCCGCGGUAAUACGUAUGUCGCAAGCGUUAUCCGGAUUUAUUGGGCGUAAAGCGCGUCUAGGCGGAAAAAUAAAGUCUGAUGUUAAAAAUGCGGGGGCUCAACUCCGUAUUGCGUUGGGAAACUGUCUUUCUAGAGUACUG
rnacentral:rRNA from 1 species